GACAGAAGGGGCAAGCGUUAUCCAUCAUAACUAGGUGUAAAAAGUGCUUAGAUAGCUCGCAAAGAUUUAAAAUAAUAAAAAUUUUAUACUUAACUAUAAACAAUAUUUUAUUCUUACGGAGCUGGAGAAAAGAAAAGAUAAUUGGAAUCACUAGUGUAGGGUUGAAAUCCAUAGAUAUUCGUGAGAACGCUAAUGGCGUAAGCAUUUUGUUUUUUUUUUCUGACAUUGACGUAAGUACGUAGGUUCGGUAAGCAAAUGGG
rnacentral:rRNA from 1 species